rnacentral:lncRNA from 1 species
GGGGUGGUAUGAUAUGGGGUGGUAUGAUAUGGGGUGGUAUGAUAUGGGGUGGUAUGAUAUGGGGUGGUAUGAUAUUGGGGUGGUAUGAUAUUGAGGUGUUAUGAUAUUGGGGUGGUAUUAUAUGGGGUGGUAUUAUAUUGGAUGGUAUUAUAUGGGGUGGUAUUACAUGGGGUGGUAUUAUAUGGGGUGGUAUUAUAUGGGGUGGUAUGAUAUGGGGUGGUAUGAUAUGGGGUGGUAUUAUCUGGUGUGGUAUUAUAUGGCGUGGUGUUAUAUGGCGUGGUGUUAUAUGGCGUGGUGUUAUAUGGCGUGGUAUGAUAUGGGGUGGUAUGAUAUGGGGUAGUAUGAUAUUGGGGUGAUAUGAUAUGGAGUGAUAUGAUAUGGGGUGGUAUUAUAUGGCGUGGUAUUAUAUGGGGUGGUAUUACAUGGGGUGGUAUUAUAUGGGGUGGUAUUAUAUGGGGUGGUAUGAUAUGGGGUGGUAUGAUAUGGGGUGGUAUUAUCUGGUGUGGUAUUAUAUGGCGUGGUGUUAUAUGGCGUGGUGUUAUAUGGCGUGGUGUUAUAUGGCGUGGUAUGAUAUGGGGUGGUAUGAUAUGGGGUAGUAUGAUAUUGGGGUGAUAUGAUAUGGAGUGAUAUGAUAUGGGGUGGUAUUAUAUGGCGUGGUAUUAUAUGGGGUGGUAUUACAUGGGGUGGUAUUAUAUGGGGUGGUAUUAUAUGGGGUGGUAUGAUAUGGGGUGGUAUGAUAUGGGGUGGUAUUAUCUGGUGUGGUAUUAUAUGGCGUGGUGUUAUAUGGCGUGGUGUUAUAUGGCGUGGUGUUAUAUGGCGUGGUAUGAUAUGGGGUGGUAUGAUAUGGGGUAGUAUGAUAUUGGGGUGAUAUGAUAUGGAGUGAUAUGAUAUGGGGUGGUAUUAUAUGGCGUGGUAUUAUAUGGGGUGGUAUUACAUGGGGUGGUAUUAUAUGGGGUGGUAUUAUAUGGGGUGGUAUGAUAUGGGGUGGUAUGAUAUGGGGUGGUAUUAUCUGGCGUGGUAUUAUAUGGCGUGGUGUUAUAUGGCAUGGUGUUAUAUGGCGUGGUGUUAUAUGGCGUGGUGUUAUAUGGCGUGGUGUUAUAUGGCGUGGUGUUAUAUGGCGUGGUAUGAUAUGGCGUGGUAUGAUAUGGGGUGGUAUGAUAUGGGGUGAUAUGAUAUGGGGUGAUAUGAUAUGGGGUGGUAUUAUAUGGCGUGGUAUUAUAUGGCGUGGUAUUAUAUGGCGUGGUAUUAUAUGGCGUGGUAUUAUAUGGCGUGGUAUUAUAUGGCGUGGUAUUAUAUGGUGUGGUGUUAUAUGGGGUGGUGUUGUAUGGGGUGGUGUUAUAUGGCGUGGUAUUAUAUGGCGUGGUAUUAUAGGGCGUGGUAUUAUAUGGCGUGGUAUUAUAUGGGGUGGUAUUAUAUGGGGUGGUAUUAUAUGGGGUGGUGUUAUAUGGGGUGGUUUUAUAUGGGGUGGUAUGAUAUGGGGUGGUGUUAUAUGCAUGGCGUGGUGUUAUAUGGCGUGGUGUUAUAUUGCGUGGUAUUAUAUGGCGUGGUAUUAUAUAGGGUGGUAUUAUAUGGGGUGGUAUUAUAUGAGGUGGUAUGAUAUGGGGUGAUAUUAUAUGGGGUGGUAUUAUAUGGGGUGGUAUUAUAUGGGGUGGUAUUAUAUGGGGUGGUAUUAUAUGG